rnacentral:sRNA from 1 species
CCUUUUGACAUGACCACCAAGGAACUUCCAUUUGUUGCACCCGCUAUGGCACUGAUGUAGUAAUUAUUCUCCCAUUGCUCCAUAAUCCAAUCCUAAAAAAAUAUUGGUGAGAGUUCAUAAACUUGGGAUGUGAACCCAGUUCCCGCGUCCAUAAUAAGGGCCCAAAGAUUGGCUGAAGAUGCCACUGAGCUAAUGAACAAUCCAUCAUCAUUUCCCUUCUCUAUGUGUUGAUGAAGUCUGGCAUCUGCUACAUUUUUGUUACCUUUGUUUCAUGGGUCUCCUAGCAUUAUAGACUGAUAUCCACUGAUUUGCUGGGCUUCCAAGUCGAACUUUCUUCUUUGGUUGUUCAUCUUCUUCAAGAUUUACAAGCAACCUUCCACGUUUUUGUCCAGCCUGCAUAUAGAAACCAUUCAAUCACCAUCGAUUCUAAUAGGCCUCAAAUGCUGGGGCUCAAUCAAUUCAUCAAAAAGGGAAAUAAGCUUUGCGUAGUUUGGUUCUUCAUCAAAUCUCAUGUUUGUCACGCUCUCCAGGAAAAGUUUAAAAGGAGGGGGACAGAAACAGCACAAAAGGUCUGGAGAGGUAGCCAUUUUCUUCUUGCAAACAAGAAAACUCUUAAUGGAAACCUGGUAGCCUUGCCAAGGUAACCUUCCUCUGAGAAGAAAUAUUAAUGUAUAUGCUAAUGAUUCCAGAUCAUCCCUUCUGCUACCAGUACGGCCUAAAUGGGCAUGGACACUAGCAUAUCUUAUUAUAAAAAUUAACCUAAAUAUGUCUGGCCUUUGAUCAUAAUCAACAUGCUGUCCAUUUGGCGUUUCCUUCCAUUUAGAUGCUGAAAUUCCAAGAUCAAUCAAAAAAAGUUUCUUCUCAUCAGGUGAUCCAGGUUGGCCAAGUAGAAAAUUUUCUGGUUUAACAUCUCCAUGAACGAACCUGGUAAAAUUUUCUCAAGGAUAGAAAUUGCCUCUACAGCGAUGCAAGCAACCAUACUUGGGGUCAUCCUGCAUGAAACAUUGAAUUCCAAACAUCCCAAAGACUAGGUCCUAGUAUGUCCAUUACCUGAAAAGGUUACAAAUUUUAGCAGUUAUCCUAUCUCUAAGAUUGUAAUACUCAACUUAUUAUAGUGCAAUUACCUAUAAACUUGCCACUCAUAUGGAGGGCCAUAAUUGCAACCCUUACUGUUGCGGUGCUCGAAUUUCAAAGCUACCU